rnacentral:rRNA from 1 species
GUGGAUUAGAUACCCUGGUAGUCCACGCCCUAAACUAUGUCAACUAGUUGUCGGGGAAGCAAUUCCUUGGUAACGAAGCUAACGCGUGAAGUUGACCGCCUGGGGAGUACGGUCGCAAGAUUAAAACUCAAAGGAAUUGACGGGGGCCCGCACAAGCGGUGGAUGAUGUGGAUUAAUUCGAUGCAACGCGAAAAACCUUACCUACCCUUGACAUGCCCGGAAGCCAGAUGAGAGUUUGGCGUGCUCGAAAGAGAGCCGGGACACAGGUGCUGCACGGCCGUCGCCAACU